rnacentral:rRNA from 1 species
GGCCACAGCCAUAUCACCCUGCAGCCCAAGACCGGCUACUCACUGAAGCUAAGCAGGGCUGAGCCUGGUUAGUACCUGGAUGGGAGACCACUAGGGAACACUAGGUUGCUGUUGGAA